UCCGGCUUAUCACCGGCAGUUUCUUUAGAGUGCCCAACUAGAUGGUAGCAACUAAUGACAAGGGUUGCGCUCGUUGCGGGACUUAACCCAACAUCUCACGACACGAGCUGACGACAGCCAUGCAGCACCUGUGUUACGGCUCUCUUUCGAGCACGCCCCGAUCUCUCGGGGCUUCCGUACAUGUCAAGGGUAGGUAAGGUUUUUCGCGUUGCAUCGAAUUAAUCCACAUCAUCCACCGCUUGUGCGGGUCCCCGUCAAUUCCUUUGAGUUUUAAUCUUGCGACCGUACUCCCCAGGCGGUCAACUUCACGCGUUAGCUGCGGCACCGAGGGGGUCGAUACCCCCGACACCUAGUCCGCAUCGUUUACGGCGUGCACUAC
rnacentral:misc_RNA from 1 species